AGGAGAUCAAAAAAAAAAAAAAAAAAAAAAAAAAAAAAGCGAAACAAAACCCACGUCCCUCCUGGCGACGGGUAGCAAUAUUUUUUUUAUUUUUUUUGCGAGUCCUCCCCUCCUUGCAGCUUCCCGUGUCCUGCCUCGACUGGCUCCGCGCUCCCUUGCGCCUUCUUUACGCACGCACGCACACACACGCCGGGCGUCCCCUCGCCUUCACGCGCAUUUCUGGGAAGGACGCGUGCGGAGAAACAAGUCGUCCACGGAGCUCGAGAGAGGAGAACGAGCGAGCGAGCGAGCGAGAGAGAGAGAGAGAGAGAGAGAGAGAGAGGAGGAAGAAGAGGAGGAGGAGAGAGAGAGAGAAAGAGUGUGUCCGAGCGGAUCCCGGCGGAGCAACUCGAUAUCACGCCACCGGGAUGACCAAGUUCAGGGUCCGCACGCCGUCUCCUCCUCCCGCUGCUGGAUGUCGGAUCAAUGGAAUACCGUCGGGAUACGAUGAGGAGGAGGGCCAUUUGAUUGGACGCCGUUGACCACCGCUGAGGCUUUCAUGCAAAUUGAUGAAGGUCCAGUCUUCCCUUUUGUGAUCUCUUCCUCCCAGCGGAGGCGCGAGUGGAGAAGCGCAGCGCCGGCCGCGCACACGUUCAACGCGGCCGCGUCCCAAAGAAGCUGUGGCCAACCAGCCCCCGGGCGUCCUUAGCAUCAGAUGUCAGCCUCCUGGAGUCAAAAAGAGGGCCUGCAAGUCUUUCAAAACAAGUCAUCAAUCUGCGUCUGACCUCUUGCAUCUCACAACAGCAAAACAGCUUUUAUAUUACAACUAAGGAUGUUUGUUUUUGUUUGCGUUUGACUGCUGUGCUGCGGUGGCAAGAGGGGAGCGAGGAGCUCGCUUGUCCGCCAUUGGACGCCUUCUCCAUCUCGCUUUGUCAGGGGCGUGUUGACGUGAGGAAACAUCUGCUGCGUCCAAAUAGAGAGCGAUGACUGAAAUUAUAUGCAGACACGGAGGCCUGCCAGCCCUUGUGGCUAAUGUAAUCACAAAGGAGAGGCUCCUUUUAUUAAAAAAAAAAAAAAAACAUGCUCAAAGUCUAGAAAUGUAACUUGUGUAAAUGUAAAAAAAAAAAAAAAAAAAAAGUAUUGAGACGCUCCACUUGAAUCAGUGAAUUAGUUUAUCAAUCAUCAGACUGUUGAAUCAAGAUCCAUAAUGGCGUUGUUGGAGGACUCUGGUGUGAAAGAACUUGAGAGCUUCGAACUCGCCGCUAAAUAAUCCCUCAUAUUCGCUGUUCACUGCUCGCAAAUUCACUCAUUUGUGUUGCUGUUGUUUUGUUUGUUUGUUUGUUUGUUUUCCCUGUGGAGCCAACCACUGAGAAACUCCAGUUGUGCUUUUUCUAUCACGGCCUAAGGUGCCACAAGAUGGCGCCAAAGCAGAGGUUAAUAAGAAAGUAGUAAUUGAUGACAAGUACGCAUGUUUUGGUUUUUUUUCGUUUUUUUUAGCUCGACCGAGGGUAUGUCGGAGAGGAGCUAAGUUUAGCCUGGGUUGUUAGUGGAAGUUACUGAGACAGUUUUGUGAAUUUUUCCCAUAAUCCAACCACCAGUAUGCCAUUUAUUUAUAAGGAUAAUUUAAGAUAGGUUUGAAAUAAUAUCAGAGUGUUUUGAGAUCAUACUUUGUGGUUAGUUCAGUGUUAGCGACUGCUCCUUGCGAGUGUUUUCAUUUUGUAGUUCUGUGUUUGACUGUUGACUGCCCCAUUGAAAAAAACUGCAUCACUAACACUUUUUUUUUCUUCACUCGGCGUAUCUGAAACUCGCUCAUAACUCAAAUUUUGAAAAAAACAACAUCAACAAAAACAAUGGCUUGUAACUUGAAAGCCAUUAACGUGCGCCGACCGCGUUGCCUCACCUCCACAGUCUCCACUUGACUGCAGCGCUUCCUUUGGUGCUGCCCUUAGUCUACUCUUGGAUAAAGUGUGUGUCCUUACCAUUAGCGGUAAAUCCAGGCAUUCUCGUAUCACGUUCCAAGUGAUUUUGGCAGUUUCCCGCUGUGCUAUUUUGAAGUGGGGGGAACGGCGAACCCCAAACGAAGCAGCUUUGCAGCAGAAAAGCGUCACGACUGAGAUUGCGGGCCCGGCGCUCACAUCUCGAGUGACGAAUCAGAAUAGCUGCAAAUUUUCUCCACUUCCUGUAGGUGUAGCCGCCAUGCGUCCCAGAUACUUUUGCAUAUACAGUCCAGUCCUCUUGCGGAUGCUUGUGUGAAUUCGACAUUGCCCCUGGCAGUCUGUCCCCCACCCCCAACCCCACUUGAAUGGUCCUGGUUGCGCCGGUCCACUUGAGUGAAAAUGGAAUUUUUUUAAAGGUGGGGGCCAUGUUUCACCUGGUCGGUUUCCACUCGGCAACAGCAGUUCGCCCGAUGCUUUUAUGAUUAGGACGGUUAAAUUAGAAGCAGA